rnacentral:rRNA from 2 species
CAAGACAACUUUACGGAGUUGACGAUUGACGGAGCGAAGCGACGUCAAAGCGUUCAUUAAAGUCGAGUUGGCUUAGGGAUACGUUCGUUGGGUAGGGGAGCGUUCUGUAAGCCUGUGAAGGUGUGUCGUGAGGCAUGCUGGAGGUAUCAGAAGUGCGAAUGCUGACAUAAGUAACGAUAAAGCGGGUGAAAAGCCCGCUCGCCGGAAGACCAAGGGUUCCUGUCCAACGUUAAUCGGGGCAGGGUGAGUCGACCCCUAAGGCGAGGCCGAAAGGCGUAGUCGAUGGGAAACGGGUUAAUAUUCCCGUACUUGGUGUUACUGCGAAGGGGGGACGGAGAAGGCUAUGUUGGCCGGGCGACGGUUGUCCCGGUUUAAGCGUGUAGGUGUGUGUUCCAGGUAAAUCCGGUUCACUUUAACACUGAGGCGUGACGACGAGGCACUACGGUGCUGAAGCAACAAAUGCCCUGCUUCCAGGAAAAGCCUCUAAGCAUCAGGUAACACGAAAUCGUACCCCAAACCGACACAGGUGGUCAGGUAGAGAAUACCAAGGCGCUUGAGAGAACUCGGGUGAAGGAACUAGGCAAAAUGGUGCCGUAACUUCGGGAGAAGGCACGCUGACACGUAGGUGAAGUGAUUUACUCA